AUUAUGGUGACUCAGUGGUUAGGGUGCUGAGUUAUAGUUCAGAAGGUCUGGGUUCAAAUCCCAGCAUCUGUCAUG